rnacentral:rRNA from 1 species
CUUAGUAACGGCGAGUGAAGCGGUAAAAGCUCAAAUUUGAAAUCUGGUACUUUCAGUGCCCGAGUUGUAAUUUGUAGAAUUUGUCUUUGAUUAGGUCCUUGUCUAUGUUCCUUGGAACAGGACGUCAUAGAGGGUGAGAAUCCCGUUUGGCGAGGAUACCUUUUCUCUGUAAGACUUUUUCGAAGAGUCGAGUUGUUUGGGAAUGCAGCUCAAAGUGGGUGGUAAAUUCCAUCUAAAGCUAAAUAUUGGCGAGAGACCGAUAGCGAACAAGUACAGUGAUGGAAAGAUGAAAAGAACUUUGAAAAGAGAGUGAAAAAGUACGUGAAAUUGUUGAAAGGGAAGGGCAUUUGAUCAGACAUGGUGUUUUUUGCAUGCACUCGCCUCUCGUGGGCUUGGGCCUCUCAAAAAUUUCACUGGGCCAACAUCAAUUCUGGCAGCAGGAUAAAUCAUUAAGAAUGUAGCUACUUCGGUAGUGUUAUAGCUUUUUGGAAUACUGUUAGCCGGGAUUGAGGACUGCGCUUCGGCAAGGAUGUUGGCAUAAUGGUUAAAUGCCGCCCGUCUUGAAACCACGGGACCA